CCGGCCGGGAACUCAAAGGAGACUGCCAGUGAUAAACUGGAGGAAGGUGGGGAUGACGUCAAGUCAUCAUGGCCCUUACGACCAGGGCUACACACGUGCUACAAUGGCAUAUACAAAGAGAAGCGACCUCGCGAGAGCAAGCGGACCUCAUAAAGUAUGUCGUAGUCCGGAUUGGAGUCUGCAACUCGACUCCAUGAAGUCGGAAUCGCUAGUAAUCGUAGAUCAGAAUGCUACGGUGAAUACGUUCCCGGGCCUUGUACACACCGCCCGUCACACCAUGGGAGUGGGUUGCAAAAGAAGUAGGUAGCUUAACCUUCGGGAGGGCGCUUACCACUUUGUGAUUCAUGACUGGGGUGAAGUCGUAACAAGGUAACCGUAGGGGAACCUGCGGUUGGAUCACCUCCUUACCUUAAAGAA
rnacentral:rRNA from 1 species